rnacentral:rRNA from 1 species
CCUACGGGAGGCAGCAGUGGGGAAUCUUGCGCAAUGGGCGAAAGCCUGACGCAGCAACGCCGCGUGCGGGAAGAAGGCCUUAGGGUUGUAAACCGCUUUCAGUAGGAACGAAAAUGACGGUACCUGCAGAAGAAGGUGCGGCCAACUACGUGCCAGCAGCCGCGGUGACACGUAGGCACCAAGCGUUGUCCGGAUUUAUUGGGCGUAAAGAGCUCGUAGGCGGUUCAGUAAGUCGGGUGUGAAAACUCUGGGCUUAACCCAGAGCCGCCACUCGAUACUGCUGUGACUUGAGUUCGGUAGGGGAGCAGGGAAUUCCUAGUGUAGCGGUGAAAUGCGCAGAUAUUAGGAGGAACGCCGGUGGCGAAGGCGCUGCUCUGGGCCGAUACUGACGCUGAGGAGCGAAAGCGUGGGUAGCAAACAGGAUUAGAUACCCUGGUAGUCCACGCCGUAAACGUUGGGCACUAGGUGUGGGUUCCAACCAACGGAAUCCGCGCCGUCGCUAACGCAUUAAGUGCCCCGCCUGGGGAGUACGGCGGCAACGCUAAAACUCGAAGGAAUUGACGG